rnacentral:sRNA from 1 species
CGUUUUGCAGACGCCGCCGCCGAGGAAAACCGUGUACUAUUAGCCAUGGUCAACCCCACCGUGUUCUUCGACAUUGCCGUCGACGGCGAGCCCUUGGGCCGCGUCUCCUUUGAGCUGUUUGCAGACAAGGUCCCAAAGACAGCAGAAAAUUUUCGUGCUCUGAGCACUGGAGAGAAAGGAUUUGGUUAUAAGGGUUCCUGCUUUCACAGAAUUAUUCCAGGGUUUAUGUGUCAGGUACGAAAUUUACUGAAUUUUAUUUUAUUUGGGUUGCUCCCUUCAUUUGGGAUUGAGCCAGAAUAUUUCAGGAUACACAUAUCUGAACUGUUACUCUACCAUUUCGGUUCUAUUUAACCCUUCUAUUCAGUUUGAACUUGGGUUUAAAGUUUGAACUUUGCAGAUUUGGCACACUUUAUGGUUAUGUUGUCAGAAGUGACAUUUUUCCUAUAUGUUGACAGGGUGGUGACUUCACACGCCAUAAUGGCACUGGUGGCAAGUCCAUCUAUGGGGAGAAAUUUGAAGAUGAGAACUUCAUCCUAAAGCAUACAGGUCCUGGCAUCUUGUCCAUGGCAA